UACAGAGGUCCCAAGCGUUGUUCGGAUUCAUUGGGCGUAAAGGGUGCGUAGGUGGCGCCGUAAGUCAGGUGUGAAAUCUCGGGGCUUAACUCCGAAACUGCAUUUGAUACUGCGGUGCUUUGAGGACUGGAGAGGAGACUGGAAUUUACGGUGUAGCAGUGAAAUGCGUAGAGAUCGUAAGGAAGACCAGUGGCGAAGGCGGGUCUCUGGACAGUUCCUGACACUGAGGCACGAAGGCCAGGGGAGCAAACGGG
rnacentral:rRNA from 1 species